rnacentral:lncRNA from 1 species
AUAUGACCCAUGUUCUGAGGGAACUUAGAAUCUAAUAAACGACGUUGUGAGAUAGAUGGGUGGGUAGAUAGAUAGAUAGUUAGAACCACCUUCUUCUCGAGAUACUCCUUAAACAACUAGAAUGUCUGAGUCUAUUUGGCUUUGACUCUAUUGCUUGGAAUCCUUUUGCAUGGGGGGCUGAGAAGCUUCCUAGGAGAGAGUUCACUAGAGGCACAGGGUUUGACCCAGUUACAAGGCCCCACCAGGAGGGAAGAUGCUACAUCACCAGGGUCUACCACAAUGCCUGACAUGUGAUGGGCGUUCAAUAAAUACCUCUUUGAAUGGAUAAAUGAAUAAGUCAGUUAAUGAGACAGUGAAUGAAUUCUGACGUCUUUAGCUUGGUCCGUGGCUCCACCACCACAACCCCUCAGUUCAUGAUCCAAUCUUAGGGGGAAAGCAUGAUGCAAAUAAAAUCUGAAAGAUGUUUUCACUAAAAAAUUGUAAGACAUGGGGGUGCAAUAGCAUUGCUUAGCCCAUGUAUCACAUAAAUUGGGUGAGAAGCAUUCCCUAUUCCUGGGCUGGGAAUACAGAGGUGCUUUGAUGCCCAGAGGCCUAAUGAUCCUUUGAAUCUCAAGGGUCUAACCCACCUGCGUGAGCAGAUGCGAUGCUGGGGUGAUGAGAGGCAAGCAGCGCUGUCCAACAGCAGGUGGCUUAGCAGUGGAUGUAGGGCAUAGCAGAAGGUGCCUUCCUGGUCCCUUACAGACAGUGAACGACUCAACUGUGUAUAUCACCAAAGAGUUCUUUCAGAUCAGAAGAGACAGAAUAAGCAGUAUCUGCCCAGGGAGCUGAGCAGAGGGCGUGUGUCAUGUGGGUGGAAGUUUGGAGCCGGAGUGGUGGCUGUUUGUUACUGAAAGAAAAAGAGAGACAUGCCAUACACCUUUUGUGCUCUGGAUGGAAGAAACAGAAACCACCAAAAAGAAGCCAUCAGAGUGGCAUUGGCUGCUGGUGGAGCUGGUCAGACCAGUGGACGCUGAUACCUGGAGGAUGCAAAGAUACACAGCUGGGGCAGCCAACUGGAAAUGAACCCAACAGCAGGAGGCCAGAGGAAUAUGCAGGCCUGAAGGAGUCUAGAACAUCGUGGUGGUAGGUAGGUUGAGGCCGAGGCAAGCAGUAGCACACAGCAGGCAGCAUCAAGGAAUGACAAGAGGUACAUGAGUUUCCUAACACCCCACAGAGUUCAGCAACUGGGAAGUCAGCAGGAGGCCAUAUGCUGAGGUUUGAGGAGGGAGCGAGAGUCCCAGGGGCUAGCUAGUCAGUGGACCUCAAAUUUAAGCUUGG